GACGAACGCUGGCGGCGUGCCUAAUACAUGCAAGUCGAACGCAGUGGGGACGUGUGAGUAACACGUGGGUAACCUCCCCAUCAGAGGGGAUAACACUUGGAAACAGGUGCUACAACGAUACUGGUGGCUGGACCCGCGGGGCAUUAGCUAGUUGGUGAGGUAACGGCUCACCAAGGACACGAUGCAUAGCUGACCUGAGAGGGUGAUCGGCCACACUGGGACUGAGACACGGCCCAGACGCCUAAGGGAGGCAGCAGUAGGGAAUCUUAGGCAAGGGACGAAAGUCUGACCGAGCAACGCCGCGUGAGUGAAGAAGGUUUUCGGAUCGUAAAACUCUGUUGUUAGAGAAGCGGUAUCUAACCAGAAAGCCACGGCUAACUACGUGCCAGCCGCCGCGGUAAUGC
rnacentral:rRNA from 1 species